rnacentral:rRNA from 1 species
AGAGUUUGAUCAUGGCUCAGGACGAACGCUGGCGGCGUGCUUAACACAUGCAAGUCACGGGGGCCCGCAAGGGCAACCGGCGAACGGGUGCGUAACACGUGAGGGACCUGCCUGGAAACGGGGGAUAGCCGGCCCAACGGCCGGGUAAUACCGCAUACGCUCAUCGCGGGGCAUCUCGUGAUGAGGAAACCUCCGGGGUUUUCAGAGGGCCUCGCGGCCUAUCAGCUAGUUGGCGGGGUAAUGGCCCACCAAGGCGACGACGGGUAGCUGGUCUGAGAGGAUGGCCAGCCACAUUGGGACUGAGAGACGGCCCAGACUCCUACGGGAGGCAGCAGUGGGGAAUCUUGCGCAAUGGCCGAAAGGCUGACGCAGCGACGCCGCGUGUGGGAGGAAGCUCUUCGGGGUGUAAACCACUGUUGCCCGGGACGAAACUCUCCUUUUGAGGAGAUUGACGGUACCGGGUGAGGAAGCACCGGCUAACUCUGUGCCAGCAGCCGCGGUAAUACAGAGGGUGCGAGCGUUGUCCGGAAUCACUGGGCGUAAAGGGCGCGUAGGCGGCUCAGUAAGGUUGCGGUGAAAGCCCGGGGCUCAACCCCGGGUCGGCCGUGGCAACUGCUGGGCUGGAGCACUGUAGAGGCAGGUGGAAUUCCGGGUGUAGCGGUGGAAUGCAGAGAUCCGGAAGAACACCAGAGGCGAAAGCGGCGACCUGGACAGGCACUGACACUCAACUACGAAAGCGUGGGGAGCAAACAGGAUUAGAUACCCUAGUAGUCC